rnacentral:misc_RNA from 1 species
AACGCACCUUGCGCCCCUUGGUAUUCCGAGGGGCAUGCCUGUUUGAGUGUCAUGUUAAUCUCAAACCACAAGUCUUUUUAACUAGAGGCUUGUUCGGUUUGGACUUGGAGGUUACUGCUGGCUCCCCCUUGUAGUCGGCUCCUCUGAAAUGCAUUAGCUGGACUUUGGUUCGCAUCUACGGUGUAAUAGUAACUUGUAUUCGCCGGGUGCUUGCCUAGGGAGUCCGCUUCUAAUCGCCCUCGGGCAAGGUCUUUUUGUGACCUUCUUGAACACUUUGACCUCAAAUCAGGUAGGACUACCCGCUGAACUUAA